rnacentral:rRNA from 1 species
UGGGGAAUUUUGGACAAUGGGCGAAAGCCUGAUCCAGCAAUGCCGCGUGUGUGAAGAAGGCCUUCGGGUUGUAAAGCACUUUUGUCCGGAAAGAAAUCCUUGGCUCUAAUACAGUCGGGGGAUGACGGUACCGGAAGAAUAAGCACCGGCUAACUACGUGCCAGCAGCCGCGGUAAUACGUAGGGUGCAAGCGUUAAUCGGAAUUACUGGGCGUAAGCGUGCGCAGGCGGUUUGCUAAGACCGAUGUGAAAUCCCCGGGCUCAACCUGGGAACUGCAUUGGUGACUGGCAGGCUAGAGUAUGGCAGAGGGGGGUAGAAUUCCACGUGUAGUAGUGAAAUGCGUAGAGAUGUGGAGGAAUACCGAUGGCGAAGGCAGCCCCCUGGGCCAAUACUGACGCUCAUGCACGAAAGCGUGGGGAGCAAACAGGAUUAGAUACCCUGGUAGUCCACGCCCUAAACGAUGUCAACUAGUUGUUGGGGAUUCAUUUCCUUAGUAACGUAGCUAACGCGUGAAGUUGACCGCCUGGGGAGUACGUCGCAAGAUUAAAACUCAAAUGAAUUG